ensembl:lncRNA
UGUCGUUCCACUUCAUGAUUGUGUCCCACUUGUUGUUGAUUCUUCACAAAAAAAUACAGUUUUAUAUCUUUAUGUUUGAAGCCUGAAAUGUGGCAAAAGGUCGCAAAGUUCAAGGGGGCCGAAUACUUUCGCAAGGCACUGUAACUAGAUGUAGUAGGCUAAUGUUAACUAGCUGGCCUGAGAGGAGGGAGGUUCAAUAUGUAACUAGAUGUAGAAGGCUAAUGUUAACUAGCUGGCCUGAGAGGAGGGAAGUUCAAUAUGUAACUAGAUGUAGUAGGCUAAUGUUAACUAGCUGGCCUGAGAGGAGGGAAGUUCAAUAUGUAACUAGAUGUAGUAGGCUAAUGUUAACUAGCUGGUGUGGCUAUCCAGGUAGGACAACAGCAAACUAAAAGCGUGUACUGUAUGACAGAGUCAUAGACCGUUGAGGCAACAUGAAAGAGGAUGGCAUUGGUGUUGGUCAACAUGUUUUUCCUACUUGAGCGCAAACGCACACACACAACCAGAACAGUGGACAGCCACAUCCUAUUCAGCUUAUAUUGAUUGGACUAAAUAGUUUCUGGUAUCUUUUAGUUGUCACUGUAUUAGACUAAGCAGAGGCGAUUUGAUGAUGUUGAAAAUAUUGAAGAUGAAAUGGUGCUGGAAUAGUGAAGUCAGCUCCUGUUUUCUUUGAGACUUGCGGUACCUCUCUGCGUUUCUUAAUCAAUAGUUGUUUUAGUGGUCCGAAAAUGUCCGAAACAUGACCUUUCUUGACCUUGCUGUAGGUCUGUAAAAUGAAAUAUGUUUCGUGGACCAAAUCGGACAGAUGUCGCUCUCCGGUUUUGGGAUGAAACAAAAAGUUGAAUUUAUUCUGACACUGUGUCUUCUUAUUGUCUCGGCCUCAGGACUACAUAUCAUGGUGUCAAGACACAGGAACUAACAGUUUGAGGGUGUCAAGACACAGGAACUAACAGUUUGAGGGUGUCAAGACACAGGAACUAACAGUUUGAGG